GUACAGUAUGAAAGGAGAGAUGUUUGGCACUCCCCUAGACAAGGAUGGACAUGAUGAGGUUCGAAAGUUUCCUUUU